rnacentral:rRNA from 1 species
UACGUAGGGGGCUAGCGUUGUCCGGAAUCAUUGGGCGUAAAGAGCGUGUAGGCGGCUCGGUAAGUCCGCUGUGAAAGUCCAGGGCUCAACCCUGGAAUGCCAGUGGAAACUGUCGAGCUAGAGUCCGGAAGAGGCGAGUGGAAUUCCUGGUGUAGCGGUGAAAUGCGCAGAUAUCAGGAGGAACACCGGUGGCGAAGGCGGGUCUCUGGGCCGAUACUGACGCUGAGGAGCGAAAGCGUGGGGAGCGAACAGGAUUAGA